CGGGGCCCGUUUAAUACCGGGGCUCGGUACCCAUCCCUACAUGGGGAGAGACGCAGCAUAUUGCUAAGGACUAAAUACGAUGGAGAGUUCUCAUCUCAGCCUUAUUACCCAUAGGGGAUGAAGAGGAGUUAGUAAAUAAAGAGGCCGGCGCUCCAGGGUUAGGUUCUGCUGUGCGUUUUCGUGAUGUAACGUAAACAAUUGCAGAAUUCCUCCACGGGAUGCCAUUGUCAUUGUACAUCACUCAACGCGAAAUACACACACUCAGUACAUAGCUAGACCCAAUAAUUUGCGGGCCAGGAGUUUGCGGGCACAGGUGUGUGUGUGUGUGUGUGUGUGUGUGUGUGUGUGUGUGUGUGUGUGUGUGUGUGUGUG